rnacentral:rRNA from 1 species
AUGGAUAUUUCCGCUAUUACCAAGCUCAUUCUGGACGCUAUCGACUUGUUGUUGAAGAAUGCUUUUGAAGCCUUAGAUGCCCCAACAUUAACAGAUUCUCAACGCCAUGAGAUUUUUCAGGCAGUUCGGUCGAUGCUCCCUGCUGGUGAUAUUGUUCCCCAAAUUGCCCCUGUCCGUGCGGCUUGGGAAAAAUUUGUUUCGAUAUCAGAUACAGUGCAAGAAACCCGCAGAACCAUUGAGGAUCAGUCAAAGCAAAAGUCUGAAUUUGUUACUGCAGCAGAGAGCAGGGCUGAAUCCAUUGAAGCAUCUCUGAAAACUUUAGCGGAAGAGAUGUCAUCCAUGCUGGAGGAAAAAGCUGAGAAGAAGGAACGUGUGGAGGCCCUCUCUGCUCAACUGCAAGAAGCUACUGCUGAGUUGCUUACAACUGAAGAAAGGGUCAAGCAACUAGAGUCAGACCGUUCCGCCAAGCAAGCUGAAGCCAAGAAGUUGCAUGAAGAUUUGCUCGAAGCUAAUGUGAAAGCUUCCGAGGAAUUGGAGGCUCUUAAAGGGAAGACAUCGACGCUGGAGGACGAAGCCAAGUCUAUUAUUAUAAGUCUGAAGGACUGGCGCUCCAUGUCCAACUGA